rnacentral:tRNA from 1 species
GUUAGGGUACGUUGGGGGUGUUAAGUACCCUUUUUAUGGUUUACAGCCAUAAUUAUUUCCCACGCU